GUCAAGUGUUUAAGAGAAUGAGUGCAUUUAUGGAUGGUGCAUACCUGGAUGGAAGGAUGGAUGGGUGGCUGGGUGCAUGGGUGGGUGGACGGAUGGGUGGUAAAUAGGAGGUAAAUUUCCGGUAGUCCAUGCCUGCCAAGUGACUCGUGCAAGCACACACGGACUGGCUGCAGAAUUGUGUACACAUUCACCACCGCACAGGUAUGAUCAGUAUGGCUGGCACAAAUAUGGGUACUUUUACCUCUUCUAUUCUAAACCGCUUCUCAGAGUACCCCAUAUAAAUUACCCUGGCCCCAACCAAGUGCACCCUAAAUGUUCAUCAGCUGUAAAAGAUGGCAGUCACUUUAAAAGCAGUCUUUCCACAGGAGGGAGUGUUGAAAAACUCAGGGUACUGCUGGCUAAGCAUCAGCCUUCUACAAUUGGGCUCUCACCAAAAGGGCAAAUAAACUCUGCUGCUAAAAAAUGAGAUGGGCUGGAAACCUGGUCCCCAGUGGAUGCUUAACUGGUACAAUCAGCACACAUCUCCAGGCUCAGUGAGAGCAGGACAGCGGCGUGGGAAGAUUGAGAGCAGCAGCCAGGCUGGAGCGCAGCCCCGCAGAGCCGGGGAGCAGCAGGACGAGAUGGAGGCCAGGCAGUGUCAUUCUUCUUAGUCCUCCCAAAGUGCUGUCCCAUCCCCGAACGAACGCACUCAGUGUCCUUGCAAAACAGAAGCAGGGAUUUGGCCAUGGGACGCUGUGUCCCAGGGAAUGUGGAAAUGGGCGUGUGUCGCCCAGCAGCACCAUGCUCCACGCCACAGCCCAGGGCACACCUCAUACGACAGCCCUGGAUCUCACAGUACCUCUGGAGCUCAGGCCAUAGUCCAAUCUUUCCCCUGGGAUGCAGCCAGGUAGUUGGAUUGAAAAAAGCCCACUUAUUGCACUGCUGUUCUGGUAAUGCAGCCUCCUCCCCUCUCAAGGAAUUUACACCUGGGUGAGCAGCUAUCCAUGUUUCCCCACACACCUGCGAGAGAAAACCUUGUCUUACGGGACAAGAGACCUUUCCCUCUGUUCUGAGGUACACGAAGCUCGCCGCUUCACAGGAGUACUGUGCAGUCACGCAGGCGGGCUGGGGCCAUGCGUUCUUCAGGGAGACAAGCACCCACGGAUCACGCUGAUGCCAGGUCUUUAGAUAUCUUUAAGGCCUUGGCCAGAGAAUUCAGCCUCGAUCCAUUUCAUGGACACUUGCUCUCUGUUUUGGUAGAACAGACUGACCAGAAUGGAAAUCUCGCUCCACCAGUGGGCAGCGACUCGCAGAUUCGUGGUGCAGCCACAGCGCCACAGUGGCCCUAGGGAGGUAGUGCCCGUGCCAGCAGAGGCUACGGUGUGGCAGGAACCCUCACUCUGCUCUGUGACUCCGGGGCUGAGCACAUUAUUGGUCCCCAUCAGAAGCAGUUUUCCUCUGAUGCGCGCCUCGGGCCAGAGCCCCUGCUGACCGCUGAGCAUGUGCACCUGGGCGGGAGUGCAGCCUCUGAGCAGCUGUGAGAGACCCUGCCUCGCUGGCCUGGCUGCUCCCCCACCUCCGGGAGCCGCUGUCCCCAUGGCUGGUGAGGUCCCCCCAGCAGAGCUCCUCAUCGAGGCAGAAUAAAACGCGGGUCUUUAUCUCACCCCUGAUCCCUUCUCUGGUUCCGUCUCUCCCCUUGGGAGUCACCCCAAGAGCCCUGGGUGGUCUGGGCAUUUGGCCUGCAUCCGCACACAUCUGUGGUUGUUGCAGCCAGGGAUGCUGCGAAGACCCGCAGUGUCCAGGACAGCACACUGUGGUCCCCCAGCCCGAGGUGACAGUGGUGCUGAGCAGCAGAAGCCCUGCCUCAGAGCACAGGGCCUGCCCAGGCUCAGCAGGGCCUGUAUCCAGCUGUCCCAGUCCUGGGUCCUCUCUCCCUGCCACCUCUCCUGCUUCGGCUCUCAGUCCUGCACUCAGAAGCACCCAGGCCUCACCCUGCUCCCAGAAGGCCCAGCCGGGGCCUUUCCUCUCUCACUGGCUCACUGCCCGCUGUGCUGUCCACAUUCUGCUGUGCACAUUGUCACAGGAGCUCAGAACAUAAACACCCAGUCCAGCUGCACCCACCGCAGCGCCUCUGGCUUGUGCCUAGACCACGGCGGGUGUGGAAGCUCCAGUUUCGGACCUGCUGCUGCAGGUGCCAACCACGGCCAGGACUGACCUCUGGGAUCCUUCACCCCAGAAGCUCUGCCCUACCCACCCCCUGGAAUUGUUCCCCUUGGAAAUACUGUGCGGGCAUCGAGGACCAUCUCGGGGGCCCCUUCCCGAGUUCCCACCGGCAAUGAACUUGGAUGCUCCAGAGCCGCAGCCUCGAUAGCGUUUUAGGGAGAGCUGUGCUGUUGGCUGUGAUUCCAGCCGGGAGCAGAGAGUGUGUCUCAUUCCCACUCCUGCGGCUGCUGAUGGUGCAGCCCCUGCAGCCUGAAAUCUCCAAGAUGGUCAGAGAGACAGACCUCCAUGUAAGUGACUGCUGCAGUCUCUGUGGGUGAGACAGUGACCUUCCUUGGCUUUGUCAGGCUUCCCGCAAACACCAUAAACACGUGCUCUGUGUGACCUAAGAAAACAAGCACAAAGGUGCAGCAAGCUGACCACCCAGUCUUUGUCAUCUCUGUGGGGCAGACUGACCAAGGUCCUGCGGUCUGCACAGCACCCGGAGGGAUCUGGCCACCAAUCCGCCCACAGCCAGCUGGACGGUCCUCAUGUCUCAGAAGUCCUGGAGAUGACUGCUGCCCACAGCCGUGACCCCCCACCCCGGCCAAACCCACCGGGUGGCCAGGAGGACACCAGAGCCAACGGCACACGGAUGGAGGCCACCAUUAUUCACCAAAACCCUGGAUGCAUCAGCCUGGUGACACAAGGACAGGAAGAUGCCAGGAGCCAGGCUGAUUCCUGAGCUGACGAAUGCUAAUGUGACUUGAUCGUUACUAUUUAAACCCCAAGUGUUGGAGGGACCCGAGGUGGCUGAGUUUGUACAGUCUCUUCUGGGCUGUGAAGAGCAUGUCAAGAGCUUCAAGAAAGAGCAGACUGACAGCAAAGCCUUCCCGCUUCUGACCCAGAGGGACAUUGCCAAGAUCAUGAAGAUCAAGCUGGGCCCCGCACUGAAGCUGAGCAUCCACAGUUCUAUCCUAAUGUCCAGGACCUUUGCUUUGGGCCAGGACCCCAGGUGGUAACCGGCUCCCACCCCUGCAGGGACCAGACCGGUGAACUCCAGCAAGGGGACCCAUGCCCGUAGUUUGUCUUAGUGACUCCACAGAGGUAGCCAGAUUCAGUGUGGCCCCUCAUCUGCGGCUUGUGAGGGCUGAGGAUUACACCUGCUGACGAGGCUUCAGGAUGGGGUUCUUCCUGCAGCCAACAGACUGAAGAAACCCACACGUCCACGUCCACUGUGUUCCUCUCCCCGGGAAGGAAGCCCUUUUCCACCUGCACAUGUAAGACUUUCAGCGAUCAGCAGUCAGCAGUCCUCCCCCAUGUGCUGUACAUGUUUUCACCAGAACCAGGCCUAGCGCGGCCUGUGGCUAAUGUCUGGGCUCAGUGAGUCUUCAAGAGAUGGAGCCUGGGUGCUUUAGACAAGACUUCAUGGGAGGUUUGUGGGUGCUUUCCCGGGAAAGUGUGGCUCUUUAAGAAAUCACAAGUAUGAGUUUCCGUGAUGCACGACUUCUCCUUUCUCCUCCAUCAGCUGCUUCUUGGUUACAGUCACAAGGUAUUCUGGAGCGCAGUAGAGGAAUAUGCCCAGGAGAGAAGGAGACGGUCAGAUGUGCAUUUCUAGAGGCUGGCGAGACCCCAGGCCCCUCCCCUGGCACUGGGACCUCGGGGUCCGUUGUGACACAAUGGGCCAGGCCUGUCCUCACCGAGGCUUCAGGAGUACCGAUUUCUCCCGCAGUGCUUCGAAGCUGGAUAAGGAGAACAUCCCGGGCCCGCACUCACCUUUGCAGCCAGACACCAUGGGGAGAUCUCUGGGCCCGGCUGCCCAUCAUCUGCUUACCUUGAAAGACUCUGACUUGUUAUCCUACAGCAUUUCUGUUUUAUAAGUGAUUUUAUCUGACACCCUAGUGCUUACAUCUGGUAUCCUAGUCCCACAGUCAUGAAAGACAAGGCCCUCUGGGUUCUUCCUCUUCUUAUACUCACUCCUUACCUAUAGCAACAGCUAGAGGUGUCCUCACGGAAGUGCAGACUCAGCCAUCGUUUGGGGCUGGGGAGAAAAAGGGGGCUCGUAAAAUGUGAGCCUCCACAAAAUCACAUGCGCUGCUUCAUGCAGAACCUUAGUGCUUUAGGAAAGUUCAUUCUGCCGAGAGAUGUUCUCAAAAUGUAGUCUUCUCUAAGAAUGUGCCUACGCUGAGCUUCUUUAGCUCCUUCUCUAAAUGUAAUUUUAAUACAUUAUUGGCUGACGUAAAUUUUGUUUCUGUGUUUUUUGU